rnacentral:rRNA from 1 species
GACGAACGCUGGCGGCGUGCCUAACACAUGCAAGUCGAACGGAGUCGGCCCCGCAAGGGACUGACUUAGUGGCGAACGGGUGAGUAACGCGUGAGCAACCUGCCUUUCAGUGGGGGACAACAGUUGGAAACGACUGCUAAUACCGCAUAAUGCAUUUUGACCGCAUGAUCGAGCUGCCAAAGAUUUAUUGCUGAAAGAUGGGCUCGCGUCUGAUUAGAUAGUUGGUGAGGUAACGGCCCACCAAGUCGACGAUCAGUAGCCGGACUGAGAGGUUGAACGGCCACAUUGGGACUGAGAUACGGCCCAGACUCCUACGGGAGGCAGCAGUGGGGAAUAUUGGGCAAUGGGGGAAACCCUGACCCAGCAACGCCGCGUGAAGGAAGAAGGCUUUCGGGUUGUAAACUUCUUUUACCAGGGACGAAGAAAGUGACGGUACCUGGAGAAAAAGCCACGGCUAACUACGUG